GGUGGCUCAGUGGUAGAGUGCUUGCCUUGCGUGCAUAAGGCCCUGGGUUCGAUUCCUCAGCACCA
rfam:Dipodomys ordii contig_32084, whole genome shotgun sequence.